ACAUAGGAGCAAACAAAAAAUCUUAAAAAUAUAAAGAAAAAAAAAUAAAAAAAUAAAAAAAAAUAAAAAAAAAUCAAAGCUUUUUAUCAAUUGCAUCUAUCAAAAAAAUGAAGAGAUAAGCAAUUCCUUACUAUAAAAGAAAGAAUGUUUAGGAUUUAGGAUUUAGGAUUUUUGAAUAGGAUUACAUUGUCACAGCCUUCAAGUCAAUGUAAUAGGGAUAAAAUAAU
rnacentral:lncRNA from 1 species